rnacentral:rRNA from 1 species
GUAGGGAAUAUUGGGCAAUGGAUGCAAGUCUGACCCAGCCAUCCCGCGUGCCGGAAGAAGGCCCUCAGGGUUGUAAACGGCUUUUGACGGUGAAGAACCGACAGGAUGCGUCCUGUUUUGACGGUAGCCGUUGAAUAAGCACCGGCUAACUCCGUGCCAGCAGCCGUGGUAAUACGGAGGGUGCGAGCUUUGUCCGGAUUUAUUGGGUUUAAAGGGUGCGUAGGCUGGAAGGUCAGUCAGCGGUGAAAAGCUAUCGCUUAACGAUAGUCUUGCCGCAGAUACUUCCUUUCUUGGAUGAGGAGGAGGCCACUGGAACGGAUGGUGUAGCGGUGAAAUGCAUAGAUAUCAUCCAGAACACCGAUUGCGAAGGCAGGUGGCUGUACCUUAAUCGACGCUGAUGCACGAAAGCAUGGGGAGCAAACAGGAUUAGAAGCCCGAGUAGUCC